rnacentral:lncRNA from 10 species
CAGGACCUCAGAGAAACUGACAUUCAAGGUCAUGAUUAUUAAGUGGAGAGUACAAUUUAGCUAGUGAUUCUGGACUUCUAACUAGUACACAAUAUGAGUGCUGAUGUGUGGUAAGUCUGAAUAAUACUUUAGUCUAUCAGAAGGGCACUUAAUUUUAAAAGGUAAAAACCAGUAAGUAGCAGCCUGCUUACGCACAUGUUUAAAUGAGUGACUCAUUUCUUUUCCUCAAGCAAGCAUAACUAAAAGUAUUAGCCAUCAGCCACUGAGAAGUCUCAGAAGUCAGAGUGGAAGCAACUGGAAGCAGAGGCACCAAACACUGGAACAUGUGAGGGAGCCUGAAGAGGAGCGGGAGGAAGGUCCCUCCAGAAGCUAACAGGAAAAUGGCCAGGGCUAGGCUUCAAGAUCUUUCCAAGACCCAGAAAGGAAACCCAAAUGUAUCCACUUUACGCAUUCAAAGCCUUGACUUUCUGAGCUAAUCUUUCAUAAAUGGCUCUUAAGGGAGGGUCUCCUUCCUUCCUUGGGUCUCACCCAGAGGUUGCCCCUUUGCAAUCCACAUUGAUGAAGGACAUCUUCCCUGCUGGAGGACACGUUCCUGCAGGAGAUUCUUUGAAGAGCAAACACCACCCUCCAGCCUUGAAAUGCUGGCGCGGCUUCACUGUGUCUCUAAAUCAAGCUUUGUCCACCCAGACAGGAAGACUCCACCCUGUUGUGACAGGCACAAUGUGGAAUUUGUGCUUCAGUGAGCUUCAGAUGAUUUUCAACCCCACACCUUGGAUGUGUUUUUGAAACAAUGUGGGAUAUAAAUAAAUAAAACAUAUUAACCAUUGUGGUGCUUUAUUCGCUCUUCAAUAUUUGUAAGUUGAUUUCUACCAUAAAAGAGUUUUUUUCUCUCCUCCCUUCCUUCUUUCCCUGCUCUCCCACCGCCCUCACCAU